GAAGAUUGAGGAGGUAGAGAAUGAGAUUUACUAGAGAAGUGGUAGAUGUCUCCUACUCUCUAAUGGAGAAUUUAUAGAAUUACAAGCACUUUUUAACACUCAUUUACUAUUUGUUAGUCACUAAUGCAACUAAUAAAUCUAUUAAACUUAUCAGAACUAGCCUUAACUUUGAACCCUUUUGCCCUUUUUCGUUAUGUUCUUGUUUUCCCCUUGUAAUUCAAAUAUGGCCUGUGAUGAGGAAGUGAUAUAUUGCCUACAUUGUUUGAUUAUUUUCCAUGAGAACAACAAUACAUCUCUCUGAGGCCAGCAUACAAGACUUUUAUGCUUUUUCACAAGUUGAAGAAAGUUGGGUUUGUUUGCCAAAUUUCCAUAUAUGUUUGAACAUCUGUUUCUUUUAUAUGCUUCUUUUAGGCCCUGGCUUUGGAAGUGCAAAAAUUUAGGUGUUUUGAGUUUAUUAAAAUCUCGAUGAUGAAUGAUCUUUUCUUCUUGGGAGUGCUCCUACCUUCUUAACCUUUAGGGGCAGAACCAUCCUCUUUUCUUCUUGGGAGUGUCCCACCUUCUUAACCUAGGGUUUUCUGUGAACACUAGUCACCUUGGUUUCCCAAGCUUCUUCCUUGAUCGGGGUACUCUCCUCUCUGCCUCUCUCCUCUUCCCUAUCCUCCAGCUCUCCUCCUUUUCAUGGCUACUAAUUUGCUUGUAGAUUUUUCGCAUCUAUCCAACCUCAAUCCUAACUCUUUUGUUAAUAAUCCAUCCACUUCAUCCCUCUCUGGUCCUCUUUCUUCUCUGUAUUGGAAAGGGUUGCUUACUAAUCUUAAUCCCUAGAGUUCCUCUCUCCAACAUUCCUCCUCAGGACAAGGUUCUUCAUUUAUUUGAAGAUGAAAUCCCUAAUGGCUCGAAGGAGUGGGGGUUCUCCCUUGUUGGAUAUGAUAUAGGAAGAUGACCUUAUUACUAGGCGAAUUUAUCAGUCAAGAAAAGAACUUGGAUGGUAAAAGGAGGCCCUUAGUUUUUCGCAGGAAAACUUUUCAUUCUCCAAAAAUGAUCUCCCUUAUUUAGAUAAGACGAAAGAAAUUUACCUUCAUUCUCUAAUGAAUCAAAAUCCACGAUGUGUCUUUUAGUUUGCCCUUGCUGUUGAUUGCAUUUGCAUUUGCUGUAUUAUAGCAUUUGCCCUUGCUGUUGAUUCCCUUUCAACCCAUGAACUUGUUUAACUUUGGCCGUGGUAUGUGCUCAGGUUCAAAAUAAUGCCUCAUCGGAUGAUAUAUUUGUUUUUGUUGCUGGAAAAAGAAUUAGUUUACGGGUCCAAUAUGAUUGGAAGCUGACUCCCUGCACAGGUUGUGUUUCUUUGGUGCAUCCCACAAAUUCUCAUUUUAUUCUGAUGGAAAGUAUGCUUUCUGGAUGGUAUAAGCAUAAAUAUGCCCUCAUCCUCCCAAAGCCUCUAAAUAGUGGAAAUAUAUAUAUGCUCCAUUGCUCAUAAAAUUAGAAACAAUAUUACCUUCCAGAUUCACUCCAAUAGUUCUCUUUCUCUGUUAUGAGAUCCCUUAUCUGAGCUUUCAGAUCUUGCUGGUCUGAGAGAUUUGCACUCUUUGCACGUCAACAACAUUAUCACCCAAAUGGCUGGAUUAUUCCUUCAUGUUUCUGGUUUUCCUUGUGAUAUUUCAACUAGUGCAUCGUAUCUUCUUCUUCUACCUGGAGAUUUGUAUUUUUUGGACAUUCUGAGUACGUAAUUAGGCAGAGGCCUUUUAACCCUUAUGGGGUCUUUUUGGUUGCUAUUUUGCUUUUCUAAAUAGGUUCUGUUGAGUUUUGCUUUUUAACCAACUCAGUCUCAUAUUAUAGAUCAUUGUUGUGAGCUGUAAUUUUGUUUUUAUUUUCUUAUAGCGAAAGAAGUUAGGCGUUGCCCUAAUUCUUCUAGAAAAAAAACAACUUUUGUCUGAAAAAAUGCUGUGAUUUUGCAAUGUAAAUAAAAUUUUUAUUCAAUUCAGAAUUUCUUUGAUAAAAAUGAAAGAUUUUUAUUCUUAAAAUUAAUAAGAUCAAAAAUAAGAUUCAAAUAAGUCUGGUUUUUAUAAACCGAACCAUCAAAAAUAAGAAUGAAAUUGAUUAAGAAAAGAGCCUUUAAAUCAAGAUGUUGAUAGCCCAAUAAACCUUUUAAGAGAGGAGCCUUUAAAUUAGUGUUCAUAGACCAAGGGAAGGGUAGAGGAUAUCAUGUCAUCCUAAUUUGGCAAUUAUUAUCAGAAAUGGGAAAAGCUGUACCAUAUGGUGCUUUUGCUGCAAAUUCCAAUUCACUUUUUUGAAUGUAGUGUUAAAAAGGUAUAAUUUUUUUUUUUGAAA